GUUUCAACAAAAUCAAGGAAAAUAAACUCAAUGCGAAAUGUAAAAUUUACACACAACUCCAAAUUGAGUUAAAUAUUACAUUUUCUUGUUUACAUAACUUGAGAACAAGAAAGGAAACGCUCACAUGAGUUUAAUAAUUCCUAUCCCCGUGUAUAUAAAAGAAUAUACAAAGACACACCCAAAACUCAACAAAAAACCCUGCCACUAAGCCUCCAUCUCAACCCUGCUGAUCCUCACCUGCAGGUCUAACCCCUACACCAAGAAAUGGUGCACCGGGUUGUAAACAACACACCCGGUAAGCUAAAAAGCUCGUAUGAGUAAACUAAAGAAAACAACACAACAUUUAUCACAUCCAAUAUUCACAAGAGAGAUUGGAUCAAUAAUUUCAAACCACACAUCAAACACAUUACCCAAGAGAGGUACCCAUGAGUCCCAAAUAUUAAUAAAAUACCUCUCAUGACCUACCACAACACUAUGUGUACCCAUGGGUCCCAGAUACCAUACAGUAUCUCCCAUGACCUACACUGACAGACGGACUAGAGCUCUAUUCCUAACCGCAACCAAUCACCCGGCCAAAGGCUUGGAACCCGGUUUGACUGUCUAAUAUCAAACACAAAAGUGAUAAAUAGCAUCUUAACCGCAACCAAUCACCCAAAAAGGGCUUGGAACCCGGUUUGACUAUUUAUCCAACAAUCAUAAUAAAUUUCACAACAAUAACCUCACAACACAUUAUCACAAUUAUUAUCGUCAACAACAUGAUAUAUCUCACAUUUAUUAUUCUCAACAUCACAAAAUAAAGAAGACUUGUUUUUAUCUUACCUAUGAGCCGUUGGCGAUCAAGCUCAUAUAUUUUUAAAAACAAUUAAAAGAAUAAUAAUAAAACCACCAUCAUCAUCAUUAUCAUUAUAUCAUCAGGUUCAAAAGUGAACCUUGAUGAGAUUUACUCACCUAAGUAUCCAGCUGCAAUUUCCACAACCAAAUUUAGCAAGCGAAACACAACUUCACAACCACCUAAAAACACACAAUUAAAACCUUAGUAACUAAAAUACUAUAGGUUAACACAAUACCCUUAACUAACCCUUAAUUCAAGAGAUGACAACUUUCCAAAGUCGUCGAGCUUAGAGACUCACAAAGGCUGCCUCUAAUUCUCCAUUCCUAACUCAAACCUCCACCAAACCUAAAAUCACACUUAACGUUCUAGCAUGCCAACAUUUCUUAAAAACUAGCCACACUACCACUCAACAAGCUCACAGCAGUAAGGACUACCUAACCACAGGAAACUAGGGCUGCAACUCAACCGGACGCGCCGCCACGCGCCGCCACAGGCGGCGGCGAGUGGGCCUCACGCGCCACCCCAAACUUCCGAAUUUGAGAAAACUCCCAACAGCAAAGUUGAAGCUUGAAGCAAGGGGAACAACUUUCAUACCUGAGACUUUGACCAAAAAUGGCCGGAACCGGCCGGAAACCGCCCCGAACGGUGCCCAGAAAAACAAAGGCAAAAUCUGCAAAACCGGCCUCAAAACCUUAAAAACUUGCUUCAACUAUGCCUAAACACUGCUAGGAGGAAGAGGGGAUCAAUACUCACCUAAACUUGGCCGGAAACGGCGUCGAAAUCGCCGGUUUUCCGGCGGAACAGCAGCAGCUCCGCCGCUUCGUGGCGGCUUCCAGGCGGCGGGACAGCCGGCGGAACUGCUCCAGAAAUGGAGAGGGCUGCUGUGGGAGUCGACUGGAACCGGUGGCGUCCGGUUUGGUGGCCGGAGGAGGAAGAAAUCGGCUGAAGAAAGUGAAGGCUCGGGGAGCUCGGGAGAGGAGAAGAGGAAGGGAAAAAAAAGAGAGAAAAAAAAGUGAGGAGAGAGAGAGAGAGAGAGAGCUGCUUUNNNNNNNNNNNNNNNNNNNNUAUGAACAGACUUGCAUGCCUUAGUUAACAUUGAUAUCAGUAACAUUUAGUCAGAAUCAACAUAUUAAGAACCAAUUAACCAAACAGUUAGUAUUCCAAUGUUUGUUUUGAUAAACAAGCAUACGACAGGGAACAAUUCACCACAAUCAAACUGAUCAAUCUCUUGUUUUUUUUGCUUCAGAUGAUUGAAUAUGGAUCGAAUAGAGAAAAAUUGAUUAUCAAAGAGAGAAAGGAAGAAAUAGACGAUUGCUUCAGACGUACCUGCUGUCUGCUGACGAAUCUGGGAAGAAGAUGGCGACGAGCUUGGCCUUGGAGGUGUCGACGGCCUCGUGGUCGGGGCAGGGCCGAGGGCGUUGAGGACGGAGGGGAUCUGGGAGACGUCGGAGACGGCGCGGGUCAGAGAGGAGGUGAAGAAUGGAAUCGUCUAAGAAAUCGGAGAGGAGAAAAGUUGUGGAGCAGAGAUUGAGAGGGGUGGAAGCAGAGAGAAGGUGAAGAAGAAGAGAGAAGAGUUGUGGAGGUGGGUAUAAAUUUUUUUUUUUCAUUGGGCUGGGCUGUGAUAUAUAUAUACAUAGGGGUUUUUUUGGCCCAAUUUUCGGUUGGGCUGUAGCCCAUACAGCCUUUGCUUUGCUUCCGUCCCUGCAUAUAUGGCUUGAUGCCCUUUAACUCUAAAAUGAACUGGCCUCAGUGUCGAAAGUAUUUAAAUGUGGUGUCUUGUCACUAACUAUCAUUUUUCUUUUAAAUAUAUAUAUUGGCAUGAAACCCUACCUUACUGCUGACACCAUUGGAAUACAUUUUUGUUUUUUUGGUUACAUGACACCCAUUGGAAUAUUGUUGUACUGUCUACGGUCUACCACUUUUUUUUCGACCUCUUUUUUACCUUUUGGGAAUUGUGUUCAAGUGUAUUAUCUCUGGAAAUCAGCAUACACUCGUAUGAAAACAUCCGGCGUUCUUCUGAAGGGAUUUCAAUUUCUUCAUUGAUCGCUUUUUUUUCCACAUUUUCGGAUCCAUCAAUGCAUCAUGCAUGUUACUAGGAAUUAAUAUACGUACCGUAAAUAAUUGAUUAACAACAUGUGCAUGUGACUUGAAAAACUAAUGGUUAGACACAAAAACCAAAACCAAAGCCAAAUGCCUUGUAGCUAACUUUAUGUCUAACCAUAGGUUUUCCGAGACACAUGCUCUUGUUAUUGAUCAAUUAUCUACUGUAUCUAUUUCUAGUAACUUGCAAGAUGGUUUGGCUGAUCCAAAAUAAAGAAAAAGCAAUGAAUGAAGAAUUGAGAUUCCAUUGGAAGAAUGCAAUGUGGGAGAUAGUAUUCCAUGUCUGUCGGAAAGAAAACUAUUAGGCAUUGUUGGGCGCUUACAAUGAACCUUAAGCCAAAUGAAACUAUUGACAGAUACAAUGCAAAAUUGGUCUCAAGGAAUGUGCAUUACGCUAUGGAAUCCAGCUCGGAGACAUAACCGGAAACUAGAAUAUAAAACUACGGAAUCCAUCAAUUCCUACCUUUUAUGUUCUCAGAAAAGAAAAUGCCGCGAAUAGUCUCCUCGGGGACUUGGGCAGGUCGCGGUUCAAGGGCUAAAUAACGCCAGUAGGAGCCUGAAACGACGUUUUAGAGAAUUCCAGAAGGGUAGAGCACGGACCCUUCUUCAAACGGACCUUCAUUCUAUGAUUAGAUUCGCAACCAGGGAACCUAGAGAGGCAGGUAAGGGUGGACCGAACUAGCGCUCGUUUAUGAUGAUUUCACAAUUCUAGCCGAUUGUUCUCGAGUCCUCGCGAUGGAGCAGCAUCCUCGAGCUCGAGAACCCCUGUCUAAUAUGUUCCAAACCCAUAAUAUAAAAAAGUCUAGUCGGAAGGCUAAAGCAGACUGGGGCCAAUUACUCGAGAGUGGGGCUAAGAAAAAAAAUUGGUUGUAACUAAAGUCCUUUAACUGAACUGGUCAUUUAGGCAAAUUGUUCAUAAAAAAAUGUCCUCACACCUCCAAAUGAGCUUCCUUCAACGCCAAGCAAGUCGAACAGAAACCCAGGUUAAUUAUGUACUUUUUUGAACUUGUGGCGAAGUGAAAAUAGUUUCAACAGUAUAAUUCUAUUUUGUAGUGCCUUUUAACCAAAUACAAUUAAAUUACUGUUGAAACUAUUUUUAGUUUAUAAACAAUAUUGUAAAUACAUUUCUUAAUAAAAUUUGACGAUGUUGUUGAGAUCCUAGAUAAAGUGAAUUCAUGUUAAGAGUUGAGACCAUUUGAAUGUGGUGUCAAGUCAUGUUGGUACUGGUUUUGGCCGGUUGAGAAUUCACAGGUGGUAGAUGGAUGUAGGUCCAAGAAAGCCAACCUGCGGCAGGCAAGCAUCGGGUUAGAAACUAACUUGGUACAAUUUAUGUGCUAACUGGUUUCAUGUCAACUUUUCAAUAAUGCAAUCAACCUUCUACUUCUGGUAAGUUCACGACUUGAUAUACAGUCUCCCGCCAACUGGUUAAUUUUACCAAACCAGGUUUACAGGGGCGUACUCGAAUGAUAAUCGAAUCUCACCGACGCCCACUGGAAAUUUGGAGCCUGCAAUGAUGUAAGGUCACAGAUGAAAUAGUUAAUUGCAUAUUCGUACAUAGUGACAUGUAGAGAGUGACGAGAUAUAGGUAAGAGUAUCUUGAAGUCAAAUAUAAAAGGCGCAGUUAAUUUCAUUAGAGACUUGAAGUCAAAUGAUUGUGUUCAUAUUUCAAGCAUUCUUCAUCGGUUGUCAUCCUUGCUACCGAUAAAAGGUAUCAAAAAAUUAAAAGGAAAUCCUUUGGUUAUGUGAUCUAUGAUUUUUUUAUUUAUUUAUUUUUUUAAAAGAUGUCAUCCAUUAAUGAAACUCAACGAACAAUACAAUAAUGAUCUGCCGAGAGGGCCGUCAGAAAAAACCAUCAUGCAGAACAACUAUCUUAGUACGCUCUUCACACAAACAUACCAAAACACUCACUCCAAGUACAUUCACCUUCUACGAAGAUAAAACCAAAAACAAAAAGAUUAAAAACUCCGAAGCGUAAUAAACUGUAACAUCAGAAUUCUUAUCUUCAUAUUGGUCUCCCGAUCAAAAUCAAGCGGGUACUAUAGCAGAAGUGGAGCUCACCCCUUCUGCUACCUCCCUAGCCAUCUCCACUGCAAACGCUUCUGUUGAACAAAGCCCGCAACCAACCUCAAAAGCCAACGCCUAACAGAGAGAAACACUAGCUGAUCCAACCCAGGUCCAAACCAGCCAAAACCCUAGAGGAGCCAAGAAGGAGACCAAAGUAGCCGCUUUCUCCUCAUCUCCGCCGCUGCCACCGCGACCAAGCCGUGUCGCCGGCGUACCCUCCCCUUGAAACGAAGACCAUAAGCCAGCAUCCAUACUAGCCACCUCCACAGCCGCCACUACACCACCACCCCUCCCUCUGACAUCACAAAGAAGGAGAAGAUCUAAUCCAUGGUUGUCGACAUCAGCUUUUCCACCACUGUGCGCAAUGACCCCCGCCCUCCAUCCAAAGCCAUGGCAACCCAACAACAGAUCUGGGUUUGUUAACCACUUAACCCACCAGUAACACUCACAGUAAGAGGAUUAAGGCCAGAGCCUUGGUUUAAGAGAUGUCGUCGAGCUAACCCGCCGACACCACCACAAGUUGAACAAGAGAGAGGAGGAAAAGCUUCCCAUGCAAUCGAAGGUACAAAGUCACCGUCAACCGAGACUGAGCGGCACCGAGAAAACUCUCUUGCGAGAGGCAGAGAGGAGAACAUGUUAUUGAAGUUAUUGUUGUUAUCUUAGUUUGUUUGAUGGGAUGCAUUAAUCGAUAUCUACAAAAAAGCGGGUUAGCAAGCGAUCAAACAAUGACCGAUAUAUAUUGAUGGCGUUCCCAUCCUCAAGUCUCGUUCCAUGCAUGGUAGAAAAAGAGGAAAUUGAUUCGCACUUCUCAUUUUACAAUUUAUACUCAUUAUUUCUUUUGUUUAUUAACUUCAAUCUUUUGGUAAUGUGAUAACAUGUGUUUUGUUCUUUUUAACAGAAAACUGGAACAGAGAGCGUAGAUUGUGAAAUGGAAAAUGCACUUUCCAUAUCAAACGAAAGAUUCUAAUCUAAUGUUGCUAUGUUGCUGAUGAUUGUUUAAUUUUUACUCGAGCAUCGUAUACUGCUCCAAAGAAUGUAAUCAACUUAUUGUCUACUUUUUCAGAAGCUUCAGGUCAGCAAAUUAACUACCAUAAAUCAACAAUUUAUUUUUCUACUCAUCUUUCUGCUGCUUCUGUUAAACGUGAUCUUGCUGCUUACUUGGGAAUUCAACAUAAAACUAGUAUAGGUAAGUAUUUAGGAGUCCUAAACAUUAUUUACUGGAAAGACCCUAUCAAUUUUCAUGACAUAAUUCUUAAAAUGAAGAGGAAGUUAGCUGGUUGGAAAGCUAAUACCUUGUCUAGAGGAGGUAAGUUAACUCUUGUGAAUCCAACCUCACAGGUAUGUCUAAUCAUAUACUUUCUUGUUUUAAAUGUCCUCGUCAUUUUCUUCAUAAGAUAGAUAAAGAAAGUCGACAGUUCUUUUGAGGCUCUAGUCAUUCUAAUGUAGCUUGGAAUCAAACUACGUACUUUACCUAAAGGCUAAAGAUAAAGGGAGUUUGGGUAUACGAUCUGCAGAGGUUUUUAACUGUGCUGCACUAACGAAACUAGGGUGGAAGAUUCUAACCGAACCAAGUAAUUGGGGGGUACAAGUAGUAACUAGAAAAUAUUUACGAAAUACUAAUUUCCUUAAUGUUCCUCGCAAAAAGAAUGCUUCUCUAGCCUGGAAAGGAAUCGACACUAGAGAUGUCCUACUUGAAGGCCUUCGCUGGAUAAUAGGUGAUGGGGAUUCAAUUCUUUUUUAGCCUUUUAAUUGGGUACUCCCAUAUUCUUUGUUCCAUCUAAUCCCAUCCGAUCAAAGACAUGUCUUAGAUUCGAAUCUCAAGGUUUCUGAUUUUAUUGUCAAUGGACAAUGGGAUUCUAACAAGUUACAUACUCUUUUGCUUGUUAAUAUUGUUAGCCAAAUUUGUGCAAUUCCUUUGCCUAUUUACCAUACCCUUGAUGAAUUCGUCUGGGGACCUAGUGGUUCUGGUAAGUUCAGUAUUAAAUGUGCAUCUUCAAUGCUAGAUAGUAAGGCUAUUCCGCAUACUGCAGCUAGAACUCCUAGUCGGAUGUGGAAACUAAAACUACCUCCUAUAAUUCAAGUUUUUGCCUGGUUAUUAUUGCGUAAGAGACUGGUUAUCACGUUUUUACUCUAGUAUCUCUCCCAUUUGUCCUUUUUGUCAUUUACAUAAUGAAUCAGCAUCUCAUAUUUUCCAGCAUUGCGAUUUUGCAAAACAGGUUUGGUCUUUGGCCCAGACACCCACACCUACUUUGUGGGAAGGUUCUAUUUAUUCUUGGUUGGAUCAUAUCUGUUAUUCUACAUCCCCUGAGAUUACUGCUUUAAUCUUUCUUAUAUUAUGGUUACCCUGAAAGCCUGUACAGGUUAUCAACCACGCUCCAUCCACAGGGUUACGACUUGCGAAUAACCAGAAGACUUCAAGCAAUUUCUUCAGAUGCUAAAAAGAGUGGGAGACAAAGAGUAAGUAAACAGACCUCUAACCAGUUGAGAAAAUUGUCAUGGCAUUGGUAGAUAGAUAAAGAUUACUAACCUGAAUCGCACUAGUAGAAAAAAGGCUUAAGCAAUGGGCACUUUCACAUUUCGUCGCUUAAGCAAAUCCUAAGCGACGAAAAAAAUAUCGUCGCUCUAAAUACAUAUUUCAUCGCUACAAUUUUCUGGGGUGACGAAAUGUUUUUGUCGCUUAAAUUUCGUCGCCACAGGUCCCACUAAGGCGACAACAAGGAUUUUGUAGCAAAAGAUUUGUGUAGCGACGAAAAUGUUAACACUUAAGCGACGAAAAUGUUUGUGGUAUUAUAUCCUUCACCUAACCGACAAAUUGACUUUUCGUCGUCUUAGGUUUAGACUAAAGCGACAGAACUUUUGACUUUAGAGCGACGAAAAUGUUUGUCGCAUGAUAUCUUUCACCUAACCGACAAAUUGACUUUUCGUCGUCUUAGGUUAAGACUAAAGCGACAUAACUUUUGACUUUAGAGCGACAAAAAUGUUUGUCGCAUGAUAUCUUUCACCUAACUGACGAAUUAAUUUUUCGUCGUCUCAGGUUAAGACUAAAGCGACAGAACUUUGACUUUAGAGUGACGAAAAUGUUUGUCGCAUGAUAUCCUUCACCUAAGAAUAAUUAUAUUCUUGCAUUCUAGCUAUUUACAUGUUUAGCCCUAGAAAUCCCGUUUAAGAAUCAUUUUGUUACGACUUUGUUUGACAAAAUGAUUCUUGAAUUGUCCCAUUUUUGGACAGUUUGGGAGAACAUGACUUUGAUUUGCACUGAUUUAUGUUAUUGUAGUUGAGUUUUCGAUAGUGAGUAAUUUCGACAGGGUCUCCUGCUACUGCACAUUAGGUAUAAAAAUUGAUGCAUUUGGGGAACUGUAGGGAGAUGCUGCCGAAAUUUUUCCACGUCGGAUUUGAAACCACAAUAACAUAAAUCAGUGCGAAAUAAAGUCAUGUUCUCCUGAAUAGGAUUAGGACCCUAACCGGAGGCAUAAGGUGAAGAAGAAGAAUUGAAUGGAUAUAUGUGCUUAUUUGUUGCUAACGAUGUGCAUUUUUAUUUCUAUUAUGACAGGCAUGUAGAAAAAAUGGAAAAGAGCUGGAUGCAGUACAAGAGGGGACACCUUUUAUAUAUACAGGGGAUCGUAGAUUUUCUGAAAUUUGUACAACAAUACGAUGGUGGAAAGGAAUGGCACAAGUGUCCGUAUAAAAGAUGUUGUUGCGGUAGUUGGGAGACAAUUCAGGGCAUAGAAAAACAUUUGUCACAUUACAACAUUGAUCUAUAUUAUACUACAUGGACUGAACACGGUGAAGUGCUAGUUAAUGAUCCUAUAAUGCCCCAUUUUCUACCAAAUAACUUGCAUGAGGCUGGCUCAUCUAGUGCUUCCGCCAGCCCUUAUAUGGAUCCCACGUUGAACAUGCUACAUGAUGCUUUUCCAUACGCUUCAAGAUAUCAUCAGGAAGAAACUCAUCAUGAUGCACCCCAGGAAACAGAUUCUACUUUCUCGAACCUAAACACUGGUGAUUACGAUAAGUAUAACAAGAUGCUCGAAGAAGCGCAGACCCCAGUGUACGAGGGAUGUUCAGAAACUGUUUUGAGUUCUCUCAUGGAACAUAUGAGUUUGAAAAAGAAGCAUAGGACCUCGAACAAACAUUUUGAUGACUAUUCAUCGUUUGUUAGACGUUUGCUUCCUCCUGCAAACAAACUACUAUCGAGUCAUUACAAGGCAAAAAAGAUCAUGAACGACCUCGGUCUUGGUUAUGUGAAAAUUGAAGCUUGUAAGAAUAAUUGUGUUAUGUUUUACGGAGAUUACAAAGACAUUUAAAUGUCCCAAGUGUAAUGCGUUGUGGUGGGAAGAUACUCUUUCCCCUAAAGGGAAUGAAUGUGCUUCGUUAUUUCCCGUUGACUCCUAGGCUGCAACGUCUCUACAUGUGUGGAAAAACUGCUGAGGAUAUGAGAUGGCACGGUAUUCCGAGGGAAGAUGACAAUGCGCUGAUACACCCCGUAGAUGGGGAAGCAUGGAAAUCCUUUGAUUUAUCAGUUACUGAUUUCGCUGCAGACGUUCGAAAUGUAAGACUCAGACUCUCAACAGACGGGUUUAAUCAUUUCGGAAACAUGAACUUGUCUUACAGUAUCUGGCCUGUUAUUAUUGUUUGUUACAACCUGUCUCCCUGAAUGUUAAUGAAGAAGGAAUAUAACAUGUUGGCUUUGUUAAUUCCAGUACCAAAGUCUCCAGGAAAGUUUCUCGAUGUGUAUUUGAGACCACUGAUUGAUGAGUUGAAUGGGUUAUGGGAAAAUGGAGCAUUGACUUUUGACAAGCAUACCGAUACUUCAUUCAUGAUGAGAGCAUCACUGAUGUGGAUUAUUAACGAUUUUCCUGGUCACGGGAUGUUGUCCUCUCAUCCCACUAAAGGGUACAAAGCUUGUCCACUAUGCUUAACCGACAUCAAUUCUAGUUGGCACACUAAUAGGGUGUGUUAUAUGGGAGCUCGUAGAUGACUUCCAGAUGAUCAUGAGUGGAGACUUGAUGUAGUUAACUUCGAUGGGAAACAAGAGUUUGGUCUGAAACCCCGAGAAUGGAGUGGCGAUGAAAUUUUAGAUUUGUUGAACUCCUUUAACUUUGAAAAUCUGAGCAGUGAUCGUGAAGUAUUGGCUCGGGAUCCUAAACGUCAUUCGUAUCUUGAUAAUUGGACACAUAAGAGUAUAUUCUUUGAGCUGCCUUACUGGUCAAAGUUAAGAAUAAGACACAACCUAGAUGUUGUGACGACAUCGUUGGAACAAUUCUGGAUAUAAAAGAAAAGACCAAGGACACUAUCAAAGCACGGUGCGAUUUGCAAAAUAUGGGUUUACGCCCACACUUGUGGGUAAAACAAACCGGCUCUAUAGUUGUUAUGCCUAUUGCACCGUACCAGGUGAAGCCGGCUUUGAGGCCUAAAGUUUUCAGCUGGAUUCAAGAUGUUAAGUAUCCUCAAAGGUAUGCAGCAAAUAUAACUCGAUGUGUUAAAGUGGGGGAAGAGAAGAUAAUUGGAAUGAAGACGCAUGACUGUCACGUUUUGUUGUAGCGGCUCUGGCAGAAGUUAUGCAUCGUGAUUAGACCAUAUAUGCAUCGUGAUGUUGUGGAGCUAUUAGUAGCCUUGUCCCGGUUCAGGCAAAAGUUAUGUGCUCGGGAGUUGAAAAAGUCAGAUGUCCUUAAAUUAAACAUCGUCUGCAUCCUUUAAUUUGCAAACUGGAGAGGAUUCCCCCCCCCCCCCCCUUUUUUUUUUCUAUUAUGGUUCACCUCAUGAUCCACCUGCCUGAAUAAGUGUUGUUUACCGGUCAAGUACACAAUACCUGGAUGUUUCAUAUGGAAAAGUAAAUUUACUAUUUCCUAGCACUUUAUGACUUUGAUUUAUAUAUUAUUAACGAGCUCAAUAAAUUAACUCUGACCUUUUAUUUUCUUUAAGACAACUCGGCGGAUAUAAGGGGUAUGUUAAAAAUAUCGUCCGGAGGGGUCAAUAGAAGAGGCAUACAAGAUACAUGAGUGUGUAACCUAUAGUGAAAAUUAUCUCCAUAAAAAACAGAGCAUGUCGGCAGUGAGAUUACACCUAGGUUCAACUUUUCAGUUGUUUCUGAUGAUAUCUGUUUGUUUGGGAAAUUAUCAAUUUCUGAAAGAUUCACCGAUGAUGAGAUUGUUGAGGCUCAUUGGUGGGUACUGUGACACUGUGACCAAGUCGACAUGUUUAGACAUCCACAUGAACAACUUUGCAAAAUUAAAUAUGGUGACAGAUGGGAAGAGAUGCAGAAGAAGACAUUUCCUAAAUAUUACACAAAAUGGGUGCGUUUCUGUUUCAUUUUUUUACACGAGAAAUUAACAUGUUUUGAUGUUUUUUCAGGUUUGUGAUUCCAAAAAUUAACAUGUUUUGAUGUUUUUUCAGGUUGCAAAGUUGCAAGAAGAAAAUAGUGUACAUUACAAACCCGUGUUGUCUUAUUUGGCUGGUAAGCCGCAACAUGUGAAUAUAUAUGCUGCUUGUGUAGUCAACGAUAUUAAGUUUUUGACAUUGCAUCGAGAUUAUGGUUGAAAGACACAAAAUAGUGGCGUGAUGUGUGUGGGUACGGAAGACAGAUCUGAAUAUUACAAGGUCGUUGUAUCUGUUGUCGAGCUAGUCUACGCAACUGGUAUGCCAGUUGUAUAAUUGAAGUGUAGAUGGUUCAACGACCUAAAUAUACUGAGGAGUACCAAGAUGAAUCAUGGUCUGUUAUCAGUGAAUACAUGCACAAGCUGGUAUGAGAAUCAACCGUUUAUUGUUGCCACAAUGGCAAGACUAGUUUUUUAUCUUGAUGAUCCAAAAGAGGGUGGGGGUUGGAAAGUUGUUAACGUGAUGUUACAUAGAGGUAUUUACAUUGCAACUACACUUGAGAUGUAUAUUGCAAAUAGAGAUAUUGAGAAUGUGACUUUUGAACUAUAUUAACAAGCCUCGACAUCUAAUAUCCCCGACACGGAGACUAUUCACAUCAACAACGACAUCCACUUCCAACCCCGUGAGCGCGUUCCCAUUUCUAAUUUAGAGUUUGACUUUGAUUCACUUCCAUUCAUCCCACCAACUGAGAACUUCAUUGACGACGAAGAGGAAGACUCAAACGAUCAUUCAUAUGAAGUGAGGGUGAUUUAGAAGACGGGGACUAUGAUGAUAGCGAUUCAAAACUCAUGAUGUGUUAAAACAUCAAAUUUUCGAUUUAAUUAUGUUAUGAAUUUAAUUAUUAUAUAUGUAAUGAAUUUAUUCUAUUAGUUGUGAUAUGUACUAAUUUCCGUUUGAUUUAGUUUUAUACUUUACUAACAUUUUAUGAGCUAGUAUUAAUUAGUAAAAAGUGAAAUAUAAAUGAUUUUCCAACUUAAGCGAUGAAUUUUGUCAUUUCCGUCACUUUAAAACGUAUAUUAUUUGGUGAAAAAUCAAAAACUUAAGCCACUUAGGCAACAAAAAAGAAACAGAUCGUCCCUUUGACCCAAAUAUUUGGCGAGCUGCUUUUCAUUCCCAAAUUUUGGCCUAAAUUUGAACGAACUUAAGUGACAUAAGCCAUAAAGGUAUUCGUGGCUCAUUUGUUACUGUCACGCCCCAAUUUUCGAAAGAUAAAUUUUCAAAAAUUUGGGCAUGAUAUAACACCAAAUCUUAAAAUUCCAAAACCUGCUCAAACAACUUCCGAACUAAAAACAAAUACUGGAAUUGUAAACGUCAACAAACUCAUCAACCGAGUUAAACAUUACAUCUCCUUAAUUACAACAACUUCAAAAGUCUAGUAAUAAAGGGUCGCUCACAUGAGCUUAAAAACAACCGCCAUGAUAUACAAAAAAAGUACAUCGCCUAAAACCCAGCUCCUAAGCCACUGCCUUAACCCUGCUGAUCAACACCUGCAGGUCUAACCCCUACACCAUAAAUUGAUGCACCGGGUUGUAAACAACAAACCCGGUAAGCUUAAAAAGCUCGUAUGAGUAACUCUCAAAAUAAAACUCAACAAUUUCAACAUCACAUAAGAUAACACUGGAAAUUCCUGCAUUAAUAACUUAGUUCAGGAAUCACCUAAAAGCAAGAGAAUUUAAAAGAACUAAUUAAGAGAACACAACAAUUCAAAAUCACUCAAAAUCAUAAAUGAAUCCUGCAAAAAAACGUAGUUCAGGAUUCCACUAAAAAUCACACAAAUAAAAUUAAAGAAUCUCCUACAUUAAGCAUAGUUCAGAAGAUAUUUAAAACAAGGAAUUUAAAUGACAACAUAUGAGAACAUCACACAAUCAUUUCUCAACCCUUACUUAAGAGUUCGUCAACACAUAGUCAUCCCUCAUAAGUAACUAGACAAAGACGUACUCAUGAGUUCGUCAACACAUAGUCAUCCCCCAUGAAGUACCGACAGACUAUAACUCUAUACUGACCGUAACCAAUCACUCGGCCAAGGCUUGGUUCCCGGUCCACCACGAAAGCUCCUAAUCUAAUGCACACAAUCACCACUAAAGCACACAUCCACAACUAAUACACACAAUCACCACUAAGGCACCAUUCCACAAUGAAUGCACACAAUCACCGCUAAGACACCAUUUACAACUAAUGCACACAAUACCAAGGCACCAAUAAUCACAAUGAAUACACACAAUCACCACUAAGGCACACAUGCACAACUAAUACACAAAUAACCACAUCAAUAGAACCAGACAAGCGACACCUCACUAGAAUAUACUUUUUCACGAAGGGAUAUAUAUAUACACAAAUAUAGAUUUUCUCACAAGAAUAAUCUACCAAGAACUAAAAAUAUUGUAGUCACUAGAACCUUAAAAAUGAUCAUUUAAAAAUGAAAAUUUGUUUUCUCUUACCUAUGAGCCGUUGGCAAUUAAGCUCAUAUAUUUUAAAACAAACAAAAAGGAAAACAUAAUUUUAAAUUAUUAUCAUCAUCACAAUCAUCAUAAUCAUCAAUAUUUUCAUCAACAUAAUCAAUAUCAUCCUCAUCAUAAUAAUCAUUAUCAUCCUCAUCAUAAUUGUAAUACCCUAGAUUUUCAUAUAUUAUUCCCUUAUUUAAUGAAGGAUUAUUUAUGAAAAUUCUUUGGUUUAUGCGAAGUUGAAGUUUCAGGAGUUUAUUUUAAGGUGCUUUGAUUUUAAGAGGCCAAAAGUUGACUUUAUUUUCUGUAAGUUAUCUUCAAAAACUUCCUUCAUGAAAGUUGUAGAGUUUGUCGAUACGAGUUUGUAGACAUGAGGCAUGCUUGAAACGGAUGUCGUAUGGGAAAGUUAUGGUCAAAGGAAGUUAGUUUUCGGGUUUGGAAAGUGUAUAAGUAGAAAAAUGUGUGUGGGUUAAUUUUUGGAACCCUAAAAUCAGCUCACUCUCCACACUCUCCUCUCUCUCUUCUCUCUCUUCUCUCUCUUCCUCUCCCGAGUUCCCCCGAACUCCCUCUCUUUUUCGGCCGAGUUCUCGCUCCUCCGGCCACCAAACCAGACGCCACCGGUCCCGUUCGACUCCCACAAGUGCUCUCUUUAAGGCUGGGCAGCUGCUACUCAGUGUGGCGCGUCGGAAUCAGAGCUCUGUUGCUGGAAAGAGGGCUGAUGUGCCACCGGUCGGAGCUGCCGUAUACGGCGGCGACAAGGGGAAACCAUAUGUGAGUUUUGAUCAUCUCCUCCUCCUGGUAGUGUCUAGGCAUAGAUUAAUCAAGUUUUGAGGUUUUUGAGCCCAGAUUUGCAGGUUUGAAGUUUGAUUUCGGGUUAGGGUUUCGUGGCGUUUUCCGGCCGGUUCCGGCCAAAAUUGGUUGAAGCCUCUGGUAUGAAAGUUGUUCCCCUUGCUUCAAGCUUCAACUUUGCUGUUGAGAGUUUUCUCAAAUUAGGAAGUUUGUGGUGGCGCGUGGCAGCGCGUCCGGCUGUGGUUUUGGCUUAGGUUGCUGUGUUUUAGCUAGCACUUGUUGUGGUGAGCUUGUGGAGAUGUAGAAUUUCUAGGUUGUGAGCAAGAUUUGUAUGUUAGGACUUUAAGGUUGUUAUUAGGCUUGGUGGGGGUUUGAGUUAGGAUUUGAGGAUUAGAGGCAGCCAUUUUAGGUCUCUAAGUUCGAUGACUUUGGAAAGUUGUCCUCCCUUGAACUAAGGGUUAGUUUAAGGGUAUUGUGAUAACCUAUAGUAUUUUAGUUACUAAGGUUUUAAUUGUGUUAUUUUUAGGUGAUUUGUGAAGUUGUGUUUGGUUUGCUAUUGUCGACUUGUGGAAUUUGCAGCGGGAUUUUUAGGUGAGUAAAUCUCACUAAGGUUCACUUUUGAACCAAAUGUUAUUAUGGUCAUGUGAUGAUGAUAAUGAUGAUGAUGUUGGAUUUAAUAAUAUGCUUUUAAUUGUUUUUAAAAAUAUAUGAGCUUGAUCGCCAACGGCUCAUAAGUAAGAUAAAAAUAGAUUUUCCUUAUAUGCUAUUUCUGAGAUUCAUGUGAUCAUAAUUUUAUUUAUUAUUGAUAGAUUAUUCUUGUGGAAUAUCUAUAUUUUGUUCAAGUAAAUAUAUCUAUGUGCAAAGAUAUAAUUUAUGAUGUAAUAUUGUGUUGUUGAGGAUAAUGUUGGGAUAUUGUGAUUGUUGGAUAAAUAGCCAAACCGGGUUCCAAGCCUUUUUUUGGGUGAUUGGUUGCGGUUAAGAUGCUAUUUAUCAUUUUUGUGUUUGAUAUUAGACAGUCAAACCGGGUUCCAAGCCUUUGGCCGGGUGAUUGGUUACGGUUAGGAAUAGAGCUCUAAUCUGUCUGUCAGUGUAGGUCAUGAGAGAUACUGUAUGGUAUCUGGGACCCAUGGGCACACAUUUUGUUGUUGUAGGUCAUGAGGGGUAUUUAUUAAUAUCUGGGACUCAUGGGUACAUGUUAAUUGAAAAAGUGUUGGAUUUGUGGUUUUAUUUAUUGAUAUAAAUUGCUCUUGUGAUAUAAUUGGUGUUAUUUUGAGAAUUACUCAUACGAGCUUUUUAGCUUACCGGGUUUGUUGUUUACAACCCGGUGCACCAAUUCUUGGUGUAGGGGUUAGACCUGCAGGUGAGGAUCAGCAGGGGUUGAGGCGGAGGCUUAGUAGCAGGGUUUUUGUUUAGUUUUGUUGUACAUUGUAUAUUUUUAUAUUUGGGCUAGACUUUAUUAAAACUCAUGUGUGUAGUUUCAUUUUCUUGAUUUUCAAAUUUAUGUAAACAAGGAAAUGUAUUAUUUAACUCGAUGUUGAGUUGUGUGACUUUUACAUUUCCAUAUUAAGUUUUAGUUUCUUUGAAGUUGGUUUGGAAACAGGUUUUGGGACAAUAAUAUCAUGCCAAAAUUUUUGAAAAUUAUCUUUUGAAAAUUGGGGUGUGACAAUAAUAAUCAUUAUCAUCAUCAUCAUCAAAAUAAUCAUUAUCAUCAAAAUAAUCAUUAUCAUCCUCAUCAUAAUAAUCAUUAUCAUCAUCAUCAUAAUAAUCAUAUCAUCCUCAUCAUAAUAAUCAUUAUCAUAAAACUAAAUAAUUUGGGUCCCAAAGUGAAAGUUGGUGAGAUUUUACCCACUUUAACUCCUGCUGCGUCUUCACACAAACACAAAAGAAAGCUCAAACCAAGCUCCCGAUAACCACCUAUUAAUAAAUUGUUCACUUUAGUAACCAACAUGACCAAAACACUUCCCCCUUGAACCAAGACUCUACCCUUGACCCAAGGUCUUGUCCUUCAAGACAACUCUUCUUCCGAGACCUCCCAAGAUAAUAGGAACCCUCAACCAACCUAUUGAAAAAGGUUAACAAGAUUUUCCACCAAAGCUUAACAACCUCUCCCGAUUCUCAACUUAGUCUUAAACCUAGGAUGCAAAACUUGAUCAUAACAUAACCUCAUGACAUGUUAACGUGCUCGUAUCGAUGAGCACAAGCUAACAGUUACUCCUAACCUCCCAACCCCUACCGGACGUGCCGCCACGCACCACCAAAGACGGCGGCGAGUGGGCCCCACGCGCCAUCCAAAAACUUUUGAAUUUGGGCAAACUCAAAACACGAAACUUGUAGAUGGAAGAGAGAGAAGCGUCUUUUAUACCUGAGGUUUUGCCCCACUCGGCCGGAAAACGCCGGAAAACACCAGACUUGUCGAAAAAGUUGGAAUCCACCACCAUCACUCUACACCAAGAGUCGAGCUUCAAGACCACCUGAAAUCGAACUAGGACGCCAAGGAGCUUCAAUCUCGACCAUUUCCAAGCCGCGUCGCCGCCGCCGGAGGUGGGAAUCCCAACCGAUCUCCAAGCAUAACUUUCGAGCUUCGGUUACCACUUCGGGACCAAAUCGGCGUGACCCAGCUAGAGGAGAACGAAGGCAAGGAGAAGAGGAGUCGAUUCGGGCCGGUGGCACGGUCAGGCGACAUCGGACGGCGCCGGAAAGUCCGGGUCGGGUCAACCGGGUUCGGGUCGGGUCAGACAGAAAACUUGGAAACCGAAGGUGAGGCGCGGGAGAAGAAAGAGGAAGGAAAGUGAUGCGGGAAAAAAAAUGAGGGAACCCAAUAACUUUUUCAUAGUUAUACUAAAAAUUCCCGAAAGCCACAAACUUUUGCUGAUCAUAAUUUCCACAUACGAAGUCCGUUUUACACGUACCACAUGUCUACGAAUUCGUAUCGUCGUGCUCUACAACUUUCGUGAAGGAAGUUUCUCGAGAAACCCAACGGAUUAGAAAGUCAACUCUUGACCCUUCAAAACCGAAAAACCGUUUCGGGUAAUUGAUGCAUCCGAACACUUUUUUUCUUCUUUCGAACCUCAAAACACAAUAACUUCUAACUCGAAAAAUUCUUGAAUAAUAUUAGAAACUAAUAUCAAAUUUUCGGGGUAUUACAGUUACUAUAUAUUGUUUCUGCAUCACUGAUCGAGAACCCUAACAUUGCUCAAUCGAUCCCAAACUCCCUCUUCCUCCUCUUGCCCAACCCCUUCCUGCUGAUCGAAAUCCCAUAAUCCCACUUCGUAAAAGCUCAGCCACCUCCAAUCUCUAAGCAACUAAACCCGAUUAAAAUCCCAAAAUUUGUCCCCCAACUCUCUUCCAUGUAAAACCUAGAUCCCUUCCUCUUAUUCGAAAUCCCUAGCUCUCGGAAUCCCUAAUAAUAUCACCUCCACUUCCUCCACCGCUCACAAAAUCCAGCCACAUCUUCCUCUGACUACCUAGAUGCCAGCGCCGCUCGGGAAAAGGAAAGCUCGGGAGGAGGCAGAGGAGCGUUUGCGACUGGAGUGUGCGCAAUAAUAUGGCUCUUCUUUUGCAGGAUCCAACCAAGCCACUCCGACGACGGCGCCUCUAGGAUCCCUUGCUGAUUUGGCUCCCCUUCUAACCGACGAUGACGAGUCAACGACCUAAAUAGCAGAAACACCGUCUAAGGGUGCACCCAGGGUUUUCAGCGCUCACCGUAAACCUAAGAAAAGUGGAGGACCUCCCCAGAAAGGCAACCGUGGUGUGGUGAACAACGCAAAGGUGUCUGAUAUUGUAAAAAACACGGGGAAGAAGAUCAACUUGGACUUUGAUUGGGACGUUAUUGAUAGACCUCGUAAUUUUGAUGUAUGCAAUCUGUUUGUCAAUAGUAUUGGAAGCAUCAUACGAAAAAAGUGGCAAUGAAGAAGGAAUCGUGGUAUGAUUUAGACAAGUCGGAGAGGCAAAAGCUUUUUGACGGUCUCACUGUAAGUUAAGAUAACUUUCAGUUCUUUUUUUUGGUAUUUUGAUUCCAUGCAUCAUUGCAAUUUAAUUAUAACUUGUUUUUUAUGUCUUGCAAUGUUUUUUUAUCAUUGAUUUUAAUGAUAUAAAAUCGAUUAAAGGAAUCAAUAAAAGGGCGGCAAGUGUAUUCCGUAAAUAGAAGCAUGAUUUGUCCGAGAUUCACAAGCUCGGGGGGAGAGACGUGAUUCCGGAAGAGCUUUUGCACAGGAGGGAUGAGUGGGAGUGGUUUUGCACGUAUUUUGUUUCGGACAAGUACAAGGUAUAAAUUCAGUUUUGGUUAUGAGAUAGAAGGACAAGUACAAGGUAUAAAUUGAGUUUUGAUAUAAGAUUCUAGUUAUGAUUACGUGGUAUGAUUAAAUCUUAGUUUGAAUAAAUUGAGUUCUGGUUACUGCAUACAGUUGAGAAUUUUGAUUAAAAUUGGAUAUGAUUGUUAAGUUUUGGCCUUGUGUUUGUGGCAAUGAAGUUGGUACUUUGAUUGCUAAUUUAGUCUUAGUAGUAUAUAUGUAUAUAUAGGUAAUUUCAUAGUUCUAUGAUUGAACUUGGUUUGAUCAACUGAUAGGUGCAUUUUAUGCAACGUUCUUAAUGUAUUUCUGACCCUAUUUAGCUAUGUAAUUCCUUUAAAAAUAUUGAUUUUAACUUAAUUUUUGUUUUUAGGUUGCAAAUAAAGCCAAGGAGCACAAAAUAAGUAGAAGAGGAGAAAUCUUGAAGGAAAAGGAAUCCAUAUGGCACAAGGAAAGAAAUCAGAAAAUCUGCCAGGAAUAGUCAGUCAACUUCGACAGAGUAUUGUGAUCAGCUCACAGUGAUCCAGAAGAUGAACCUUAUAUCAACGGAAAGCUAGAAGAGUCUAGUUUCCAGAAAUCUUCGCGGAUCGUCAAUAGCUAUUUUAGAGAAGAAGUUAUGACCGUUUGAGUGGCCAAAUGUCAGUCUGCCCGAAUUUCUGAUUUGGACCGGAAUUUCAAUUUCAAGGCCCAGACCACAACGGCGAGCCCAUGGACGAAAAUUGAGGGUUCUCUAACCCUAAUAGCAGCUGUUCAUACGUUCCUUAUACAUAUGAGGAGUUGGAGACGUGAAAUGGGUCGCUCUUUGCGGCAGAAAAAUAACGUCCCUUUCAUCUCCUUCAAAAAUUCCUCUCCAAAACUCAAGCCCUAGUUUAGGACUUCUCUUGACGUUCCUUCUCCUUUGUAAUCCUCGGCGUAGUUCUUGUCUCAAUACCCAAAGUGUAAUCUAAAUUCAGACCUCAUGUUUUCUUUUACUAUCUAUUCAAUUACUUUAGUUUGUUUCCAUCUCUCUUGUUCGUUUGUGUUCAUGAGUUGGAUUUUUGAUUGAGUUUGUUCUUAUAAUAAUGUUAAUCAGAUAUGUAUAGUUGAGUUGUUGGUGUAAUUGAUGAUGCUUUUGAUGAUCUAAAUUGUGUUUAUGUGUGAUUGACAACUUAUGACUUGUACGUUCUCAAUCAAUAUGUGUCAUUGUUUGUGUUAAGUCCGCAUCGAUAAACAUGAACUAUAAUGGUAAGGAGUUAUAGGUUGCAUGCUAGGAUGUUUUUGAAGUCCGCGUCGGUGAAUUACAUUCUAACAUGUCCAAGUUCUUCCUCUGAUCUAUUUUAGAUGUGAAGUCCGCGUCAGUACAUAUCUAUGAGAAGUUAGAAGGGUUUUAAGUAGUUAAGUCCGUGUCAGUAAAUUACUUGAAAGAUGGAAUUUGAUUCGUUUCUCCAUAUGCAUGAUUUAGGUUGUUAGGGUUGAAAUUGCAUAGCGACUUGGUUAUAUGAAUCUGAUUUAGUGUUUUCUUGUGUGCAAAGAGACGAUCACAUGUAUAUAGUAGGUUAGGUUUUUGUUUCUUUUUAGUUUAUGAUUUUCGUCACUCUUCUGUUCCCUGUUUUCCUUUAUUUUAUUUUCAUACCAAAUGAUCUCCGAUCCCCCUAAAAAUCUAUACAGUAGUUCGUCAGUGUGUCUAGUAGGCCUCUGUAAAUUUUCAUAUUUUUCUGAGUAGUUUAGGUUAGGUUUUUAAUUAGGUUUUCGACUACUGUUCUAUGGAACAGUAGCUACUUUUGUAAAUUGUUUAAAGGGUUUAUUACUUAUCAAUAUUUGUUAUGUUUUACUAACGCUUUGUUUUGCAAGGUACUCUCAAUCCCCGGCCCUAUAUGAUACUCUUAUUUACCUUGUGCUACUAACGAUGAAAAAGAUUUAUUUGAUGCAGGGUUUGCACCCGUCAGCAACCAAGAUAGAAACUUGUGAGAGCUUGAGGAUCGGGUUUGAAAGGGAGUUAUUUUUACAUCCUGUUAUGAUUAUGUGGUAUGAUUAAAUAUUAGUUUGAAUAAAUUGAGUUUUGGUUACUGCAUAUAGUUGGGAAUUUUGAUUAAAAAUUGGAUAUGAUUGUUGAGUUUUGACCUUAUGUUUGUGGCAAUUGAGUUGAUUCUUUGACUGCUAAUUUAGUCUUAAUAGUAUACAAGUAUACAUAGGUAAUUUCAUAGUUCUAUGAUUGAACUUGGUUUGAGCAACCAAGAUAGAAACUUAUGAGAGCUUGAGGAUCAGAUUUUUAGGGAGUUAUUUUUACACCCUAUUUCAUCAUGUACUUGGUCUUGUGCAGAGACGAUCGGUUGCCAACUCCAGCAACCGUGGUAAGGAGUUGGAGCACCACUCAGGGAGGAAACCUAUCAUUUACCAGGUGGCUGAACUUAGGGUUAAGGGUGCUUCAUUACCGGUGGUUGACGUGUACCCGGUGACAUACGACAUCAACCAGCCUAAAGCUAUUGAGCAUUAUAUAAGUAUCAGUACCUAAUGCCUUAAGGAUAAUGGCUUAGUGUUUAAAUAUAAAUGGUUUUGAUUCAAUGACAAAUAAUAAUGGUUUGGGUUUUGGUGUAUUUGCUCUUUGCUAUUCAAAUUUAUAUGCCAUAUGCAUUUUCUGCUUUUCAUUUUCACAAAAUCAUUUGAGAAUCUGCAUUUUCAGAAAAUCUAAAUAGUCUUGUAGUAGUUUUGUGUAUUUGUGUUGUACUUAAUGUUGAAAGUAAUUCAAUGUUCAGUAGGAAAAAUUUUGAACUUUGAAUUGAUAGUUUUGGCUGCCUAAUUGUUGCUACUGUGUGUAUUGGCUAGUCGACAAUACGAUGUUUUGUUUCCUUGUUCUUCAGUGUACUAUGUUGCUUUGCAACAUUUGAGAUUCCAUUGCAUAUGAUCUACUUGUUAGAUAUUGGAAGUAGAGUCCUGAAGUUUAGUGUGUUUCCAACCUAAUGUUAAACUUUUAUUUCUGGAUGAGUGUUCUAUCAAUAAGGUUUAUCUAAAUACAUUAUACUAAGAGGUUCAUGCCAUUGAUUAUGUUUAUGUCUGCAUUUGUUUAGCUAGUUGUUAAUCAACUAAUCUUUCAACUUUACUCCAUAUCUUAUUUUGUACCUAGGACAUUUUCAAAACCCACUUCUCAGACAUUUAUUUAUAAAUGGUUUGUUGCAAAUUUACAACCUAUUAGUAUUCAAGAGUUAGUAUUGCAAGUUUUUGUGCGUUGGUAUUGCUAUUUGUUCUGUGUGCUUGCUUGUUCAAACCUAUAAUAUAAACCAAGCAGUUUUCAUGUUGUAUAUGGUAUAAAAGACUAUUUUAUCAUUAGUUUGAAUACUUUGAUUUCAAAUACAUAAAUUUAAGUGAUAUAUAUCCUGAACAUCUGAAUCUACAAAAAUUUCAAGUGGUUAUGCUUGCAUCUGAGUUUCAUAGAUUACAUUGGAUGUUGUUUCUGAGCUUAGCUAGCAGCCUCAUUGUAUCUUAGUUUCAUACAUCAUUUCCAGAAAUAUAUGUUAUCUUUUUCCAAGUAUAUUUAUAUGUUAUGGCUAUUAUAACAUAUAAGAUAAUAAUAGAAACAUAUGAGUCUGUUAAGAAAUUGCUUGUAUAACCUGUGCACAUGCAUUCUUGUGUGUGCAAGCACAUAUAUUAUUCGUAUGGGAUUUGGUUGAAAUUUCUCUACAUUUGUUGUUCUUUUCCAAUUCUACCUGCAAUAAGGGAUCAAUUUAAAGUUAUUCAUUUACUCUCAUGAUCCACCUGUCUUUGGUGGGUAAUUGGCUGCAGCAAGGCAGGAUUUUUGCUUACAAACAUGUAUAAAUCUCAUCAUGAUGAUAAGAAAGAUGACAUAUGAUUGUCCUUUGAUUUUCUUUCUUAUAAUGUGACCUUCUCAAUGUUGACGCUUGUAUAAUGUUAGUUUCAGUUGACUUGGUCAUUUUUACUGUUCGCUGCUCUUUGCCAUAAAUUUAACAUCAUAUCCAUUACUAUAUUCUUUCUCAAAUUACCUAGGACAUUUAUAAAACCCACUUCUCAGACAUUUGUUUAUAAAUGACUUGUUGCGAAUUUACAACCUAUUAGCAUUCAAGAGUUAGUAUUGCAAGUUUUUGUGUGUUGGUAUUGCUAUUUGUUCUGUGUGCUUGCAUGUUCAGACCUAUAAUACAAACCAAGCAGUUUUCGUGUUGUAUAUGGUAUAAAAGACUGUUUUAUCAUUAGUUUGAAUACUUGAUUUCAAAUACAUAAAUUUAAGUGAUCUAUAUUCUGAACAUCUAAAUUUACAUACAUUUAUAAAUGACUUGUUGCGAAUUUACAACCUAUAGGAGACGAGAAACUCUAAUAAGCUAGGUGAAACAUUAAAACCCCAGACAACAUUAAGAGUAAAGCAUGUGUCUUACCCCUCCUACUUGUAUGAGAAUAAACUUAGAAAUUUAGAUUUAGUUUGAUGGACCUUUUAUUACCUGGGAAGCAUAUUCCUUAAGACAGAUGGGAGAGUUUGGAUGUGUGCUAAAUUGAUGUGUUCUUCAGUAAUUUAGGUACCUUACCUUGCUCGCCUAUUUGAAAAAGUGGGUAUCAACUUUGACGGCCAUAAUCCAAAUACCAUUUGUUGUGUUAACCUUUUCAAUUCAUGUUUGGUUUGAGCUGCUGUGUUCUGUUUUUUGAAUCUCUCUGUCAUGAUUACUUAAGGCUUUGUGUUAAUGUUGGUAUAUAUGACUAAAUACUGUGUUUUGUUAUGAGUUGAACUUGUAUGUAUAUUUUCGUAUUGAUUGAGAACGAUCUCUGAAUUACUCCACAAGUGAACUUUGAAUUGAUAGUUUUGGCUACUGUGUGUAUUGUCUAGUUGUUUGAUUUGUGAAGUGAGCUACUUAGGGGUGGGCAUGGGACGGGAUAGGAUGGGAUAUAGCUAAUCCCACGGCCCGUCCCGGAUAUUGAAAUUGGGACGGGAUAGGACAGGCUUUGCGUUUUUUAGAUUUCAUCUGACCCGGGCCCUAUCCCGGUCGGGAUUGGACGGGUCCAGUCCCGGAUAAAAAAAGUUGAAAAUAAACUUGUAAGCAAAAGAAAAGGUUUCAUAGUUUUAUAGUGCUUUUUACUCUAUUAAGUAUAAACAAGUACUUGUAACAUAUUUACAAGUACAACACGGUGUAAUAAAAGAGUUUAUAUUUCUUACUUUCUCUAAACUUAUCAUCACUACUAUUGUGCAAGAAGAGAGUCUACAACAAUCAACAAAUUAAAGUAUUAAACAUCAUUGUUAUUGAAUUGGAGACAACCUAGUAACUUAAAGAAAUAAAGAGCUAAGAUUAAAACACUUAAAUGAAAGGUUCAAAUCACAUAUUAAUUAAUAAAAAAUCAAUCAUUAAAAUAGUCGGGACAUGACAGACCUAAACGGGACUUGAAUUAUCCGUCCCACGUUCCGUCCCGUUGUCUAAGGAUGAGACAAGACGGGACGGGACGGGACGGGCCUGACAUUUUGAGAUUUAAAUCCCGUCCCGUCCCGACAAAUUUCGGGACGGGUUCGGGAUUACGAGAUUUUAUGCCCACCCCUAGAGCUACUGCAUGUGUAUAUUGUCUAUGGUGUAUAAUAUUGAAAAUAACAAGAUUGUUAGCAUGCAUUUGGUAUCUCAACAUUAUAAUUUGAGUUGUAUAUAUUAUUUUAUAAUUGUAGGAAAAGUUGACGAAACAGGCUGCUAUUGCCAAGAUUUUAUUGAGCACUCAACACCCGGACAUCCCACCGGAUCAGCUACCUCUUUUGGACUGGCUAACUCAACUAAAUGUUGUGAAAAACGCUAUGGGAGAGAAAAAAAAGGGUCUUACCUUCGUGGUAUUGGACAAGCAGGCGUCCUAGAGAAGAGCAAAAUGUCAACAUCUUCCCUUUCACUCUCUCGACUGACUAAUGAGGCAAUGACAUCGAUAGAGGUUGCUAGAAAGGAGGCGGCUGAGGCACAAGAGAGGGCCCAAAAAGCCGAGAAGAUCGUUGAGCAGUCUGCUGCAGAUUAUCAAGUUUUGAAGUUGAAAAUGGAUCAAAUCAUGGCUCGAAUAGGGCUACAACCUAUGUGUUCACCCUCGGUCCCAAGCCAACAACCUCGAGACAACGAUGAUGAUAGGGGCCUUGACACUUCUCCGAUUAGUUUAGAAAAUCAAUAGAUUUUUCUAGUUUAAAUAAUUGUACAAACAAUACUACCUAGUAUUUCUUUUGGUCGGUACGAUAACUUUAUUAGUAAUAUAAACAUUUCCGUUAAUUUAUUUUGAUUUUACAGUAAUUAAUUAUUUACUUACAGUAAUAUAUUUUUGAGUUAUUAUAUCUCUUAAUAAUAAAAAUAAUAUAUAUUUUUUUUUCAAAAAACUAAAACCUAAAAGACGAAAAUUUUGUCUUCUAAGAUGCUUAUUUUUGUUGCUUAAGGGUAAAACUUACGCGUAAAAAUUAACAGGCCAAAAUAGUGUUCUGUCGCAUAAGGCUAUAGCGACGGAAAAUUUUGUCACAUUAAAUCUAGUGUCAAAAACAAACUCGUCUCUAAACUAAAAAGUUUUGUCGCUUAACAACAAACCGACCGGAGAACAUACGUCGCUGAACAAUUUAAGCGACGACAACAAUUCGUCGCUUAAGUUAAUUAUUCGUCUCAUUAAACCUAGCGAUGAAAACAAACUUGUUGCUAAACAAAAAAAUUUCGUCGCUUAACAAUAAAACGACAGGAGAACAUACAUCGCUGAACAACUUAAGCGACGAAAACAAUUCGUCGCUUAAGUUAAUUAUUCGUCGCCUAGGUCUGUGGCGACAUAAACAAUCCCCGUCACUUGUUCCGUUUUCUUAAGCCACGGAUAAUAUGUUUUUGUCACCUAAGUGCCUAUGAGAUGCUUCAUAUACGACGAAUUUUAAGCGACGCCGAUUUCGUCGCUUAAGUCUUAUGGCGAUAAAAAUGGGCACUUAGCCGACGAUUUUUUCCUCUCGCUUAAGCCUUUAUUUCGACUAGUGAUCAUAGACAAGCAGUAGAUAAAGAUUGGCAACUUAGAACAUGAGCCAUACUUCUGUCCCCUUUGGAUUGCUAUGAAACAAUAAGUAGAACAGGUGACUAACAAGGUGAUAUAACUAGAAAAUAGAUUCACCAGUUUGAGAAAUGUGUAAUAGCAUGGGAGAUGAUAUUGAUUACUGACCAGAAUCAUAGACAAUCAGGAGUAGAUAAAGAUUGGCAUCUUCACACAUGAAAUAGAAUGUAGUACAAGUGACUAACAAAGUGAUAUAACUAGAAAAUAGAUUAACGGUUGCACAUUCCUAUAAAGAAAACAAAUUUAUAAUUAUGAUUUAAGUGCAUUUUCAUUUGAAGUGUUAGGCAUAUAUAUACAUCAGUAGUCGAGAAUAUUAAAUUGAUUUUUUUUUUCAUUAGCAAUACAGGGAGAAUCUUAAGAAACUGUACUACCACCCAUCCUAGCUAGAAGAAGAAGAAAUUAGGUUGAUGAUUUACAAGGCUUAUAAUCAGAUCGCACAGAGAGCAAAAAUAGACCCAGACAUAUGGUGGAAAGUUACGCAGAGGCUAGGGAAUCUAAGCACAUAAAGAGAAGAACAAUUCUACAAACAAGUUUGCAAAGACUAUCCAGGGAAGUACUUCAAUAAUGGCCAAGGUUUUGUCUAUUAUUAUAAGGACUGCUUGAGCACUUAAAUGAAAAAAUUGAACGACACAAUGCACAAGUAACUACCAUAAACGAAAAAGACAAAGAAGAAGCUGCAGAAAAAGCUAGGGUAGAUGCUAAAGCACAAAGGAUUGAAGACAUGAAGAUUAUAGAAGAAAUGGCUGCUCUAAAUAUAAAGGGGCGGCAAAUUGAGGACAUUGAACCUAGACGCUCAUUGGGUAAAAUGGAAUGGAGAGCUUGUUCUCGGGAAUCGUACUCAAACUCUAUAUCUUAAUGGUAGAAGAGAACAUAUAGUUCAACAUAGAUGGAGAGGAGCUGGGAAUACCAAUGCAAGUAAAUCCAACCCCCGUGCCAAUGACAAUGGAUGCCUACUACAUGGCACAGAUGAUGAUGUACGCCAAGAACGAGCCACAAAUGAUGAUGCAUGUCUUCUAUGGGCCACAAAUGGCAACGAAUCCUAACUUAGCGCAACAGAAGCAAGCUUACUUGGCGCACCAGAAGCAGCAGGCUUACUUGGCGCACCAGCAGCAGUAGCAGUCUUACUUGGCGCACCAGCAUCAGCAAAGGGCUUACUUAGCGCACCAGUAGCAAGCUUACUCGGCACACGAGCACCAAUAACACGUUUAUUCGGUGCACCAGCACUAGCAGUAGGCAUACUUGGCACACCAGAACCAGCAACAGGUUUACAUGGCGCACCAGCACCAGCACCAGCAGCCGUUCUUGGCACAGCGGGUGUAAGUGUGUCUCCUAAGAGGCUAAGAAUAUCAAUGCAUCUAUUAUUCAACAUCGACCUAUUAUUGGUUUUGUUUUACAAGAUCAUUUUGGAAAUCUCCCAUAUUGCAACUGCAAUGAAGAAGAAGCUCGAAGAUACGAGUGUUGUUGUCGCUGAAGCCACUGCUUUACGUGAAGGUCUUCAUACCACGUUUCUUCAACAAAUUUCAGAAGUUUUUGUCAAGGGUGACUCAAAAUUAAGUAGCUUGACUUGAAAAAGGUCUCACUCUCUUGGAGAGAAGUUUUGAAAGAAAGCUAUCUCUUUAACCUAAGAGAGAUUCUGGAAAGAUCAACGUUACGAUAUGAACUCUAAUUAAAGAAGAAUCUUUCUAAAUCACUUCGGGUCAGCAAGCCGUUCAAAGGAUCAAAAAAACACCAGGGUUGUAAAUGAUAUAGCGUUCCUGAUGACUCGGUAAACAUCUUUCAUUUAUGAAUUAGUUUUCUAUUUCUUAAUUAACUUUUACACAACAAAAAUGAAUUUACAUGAACCACGGUGGUCAAAUUGGUAAGAGCCUUGGUGUGGAACCCCUAUACCUAGGUUCGAAUCUUGCUGACGUUAAUAGGAGUUAAAUCCCAAUUUAUUCUUGGUGACAAGUGAGAGGAAGCGGUCUGACAUGAUCUCUCGACGCGGAUUAGUCUUCCAAAAAUCAUUUGAAAAUCCCGUUGAUACUUAAAAAAAAAAAAUUUACAUGGAAAAUAAACUAAAAUAAAAAUUUAAAAGCCUUAUCCAGAUGGCUGGUCUCUUAAAGUGAUGAACUUUGUGUAAACAUCUGAGUAUUUGUAUACAUCAACAAUCUAACUUCAUGAUGUAACCUUUCGAAAGUUAAGUUAAUCACUAAAGAUUAUCUCUACAAAAUGCAUUAUGAAACAAAAUCGUUUUUUUAGUUGGUAUUAUUAAACAAAUGGGCCAUUGAUUAUGAGAUUACUAACUUUCACAACAACCGUUCAUUUGUUUGAUACAAUUGAAUGAGUAGAUGUUUUUGAUUUGCAUCCAUUUUCUGCAAAAAAAAAAAAAAAGAAUCUUGAAUGGUUGUUUUAAUGUUUGAACAAAUUUAAAAACAAAAAACAUAAACAAUUAAAUGACUAUUUCAUCGUCUAUUCUCGAAAUCAUGUAUUUUCAUUUCCAGAAGUAUGUAAUUAGAAAGUGCUCGGUCGCAAUUAAUUUUUCUUAUCUACAUCCUGAUAGAGAUAAGUGGUGACAUGAGUUGUAUCCCUUAUAUUUUUUUUCUCAUAAACUACUAAACUACUUCAGUAGCUAAACAUUAUCACAUCUAUUACAUGAUGAUAAUUCAUUCGUUAUCAAUUUUAUUAGAGUUGGCGUUGGGAAAUUUUCAUAUGGUACUAUUUUCUUCUAUUUCGAAUGUCAUACUAAGUUGUGAGGUGAUUUCAUCAGUGUGGUUAUGAAAAUUAUGAUGAAAAAAAAAAAAAUCAAGUGUACCAAUCAUACCAGUUGGAUGUUGUCUGUGGAUUGAAAAUGAGUGAAAGUUCCAUGGGCAUAGAAAAAUCUAGGUAUAUAUGAUUGGUUGGGCUAAUAUAUGCGUAUGUCACAUCCAUUUAACUUGUUUUAAUCUAUAUCGUGAACAUCUCAUUUUAAUUGAGAACGUGUUUUAGCUGGAAUUGCUUGAUUUGGUUAAGUUCAACAUUUAGCUUACAAAAGUGAAUUAUUUAAGCAAGCUUUGGCUUUGUUAUGUCGGUGAGCCGUACUUUGGUUGGUUAAAGAGUUUAACUGACAGCUUUGAGGUCAUGGGUUCAAACCCUCAUUGACAUAUAUAGGUGAGUGAGUUAUUAAUAAAAAAGUUUUAUUUUAUUUUAUUUUAUUUUUUAAAAGGCCUUGGCUUUGUUAACCAUUUAAAUUAUGAAAAUAACUUCUAAAAGAUAAACGAAUGGUCAACCUUACAUAGAGGUUAUGGUCAUCCAUCUGUUUGUACCUAUUUUUUACAUGUCGACCUACUACGCCGAAGUAGUUGGUUGCGAAGAAGCCAACAACAUUUAAUGAUAAUUAUGGCAAUUAUUUCGUAUAAUUAUCAUCAACAUUAAUGAGAUUUGCCGAGAUUCAUUAUUUGGUAUUAACACAAAUACAUACCAAAUAUUGAAGAAGCCAACAACAUUUAAUGAUAAUUAUGGCAAUUAUUUCGUAUAAUUAUCAUCAACAUUAAUGAGAUUUGCCGAGAUUCAUUAUUUGGUAUUAAAACAAAUACAUACCAAAUAUUGAAGCAACGGCGAUAUAUGGCAACAAAAUAACAUUUACGGCUAAUUAGAAGCAUUGAAGAACGAUAUUUCAAGAUAAUUAGUGCAAUUCCAACGAAGCCGCAAGAGGAAACAAAUAACGGCGAUAAUUAUUGCCGAGAUUUAAGUGAAUUUGAAGGCAUUAAAGAUGAUAUUGCACAAUUGAGAGCAAAUUGAUUCUAACGGUGCUUCAAAAAAGAAAGUAAAUAUGGAGUGAUUAAGAAAAUAAGUGGAGCAUAUCUUUAUUCCGGUCAUUAAGACCGAAAUUCAAAAAAUAUUUGAUUGUAUUAUAUUUCCUUAAUUGGGUGUACGUACUUGUAUAUAUUCGACCCCCAAGCUCAUUGUAAAUGGUCCCCGACCAACACACACAACUCAAUACAAUCUCAAACACUUCAAAUUCUCUACGAAUUCUCUACAAUAUCAAUCUUUUUAUCCAUGUUCUAGCAUAGUUUUUUUCUUCUUUUUAUUCGUUUUCUUUACAUUCCGCACUUUAUCGCUUUCUUUAUAUUCCAUACUUUACUUUCAUGCAAUGUCUCUUCUGCGUCUUUAAAUUCAUGCACUUUAAUUUAUCGCAAUUACUUCAUGCAAUUUACGUUUCAUGCAAUUUCAAUUUUCGCCUUUAGAUUUUUGUUCAUUUACUUUUCGUACUUUAAUUCUCGCAAACUUAUACAAAAAUCACAAAAAAAGAGGAGCAACAUCGGUGAAAACGCCGAAAGUCCUUGCAACAAAGGCAAGAGAACCCAAAGGCCGAGACGGUUCCUUCCUCAGUUAAGAUCCGUCGCCUAAGUGUGGUGAGGUAGACACUUGGGCGUCGAAACCUAAAAUUCCGUCGCCUAAGUGGUUCUUAGGUUAGGCGACGGAUUUUAUUUUACAGUUAAAAAAAAAUUAUCCACUUAGGAGACGGAAUAGUUGAAUUCCGUCGCUAAAGGUUGAAAAAAAAAAUUUUAAAAAUAAAUAAAAAAACCACCGCAGGUUUUUUAUCCACUCACUCUGACCGCCUCAAAUACCACCACCACCGCAGGUUUCAGAAGUCACAACUAAAUGUCUUGAACUUCUUCUCAUUCUGCAUAUAAGUAGUAAAAACUUGCAUUUAUAAAUUGCAUAUGGAAAAAAUAAAAUUUACUGCCCCCCAGUAAACUUCUACUGGGGAUCAGUAAACUUGUAAAAAAUAACUCUCUUUCUAUUUCAGGGGCACAACACACAACAUAUAUCAAUUCUUACCUUAAUAAACAACUUUAUUGGCCCCUAAUGAACCCAGUAGAAGUUUACUGCCCCCAGUAAACUUCUAAUGGGGGUUAGUAAAAUUCAAUACAGUAUCUCCUUUUCAAUUUCAUGUCAAUUAUACAUAACAGAUACCAAUUCUUACCCUAAAAAACAAAUUCAUUGCCCCCUAGUAAAUCCAGUGGAAGUUUACUGCCCCCAGUAAACUUUUAUAGGGGGUCAGUAAACUUCAAUACAAUCUUCCUUUCAAUUUCAUGCUAACAAUCUGCCUCAAAUAUACCACAUGUUACACCCAAAUUUUCGAAAGGAAAUUUUCAAAAAUUUUGGCAUAAUAUCUCUUAAAAUAAUAUAAUCCCAAAGCAUGUUUCAACAAAAUUUCAAUGAAACUAAACUCAAUGCGGAAAGUAAAAUUUACACACAACUCCAUAUUGAGUUAAAUAUUACAUUUCCUUGUUUACAUAAACUCGAGAGUCAAGAAAAUGAGACGCUCACAUGAGUUUAAUAUUGUCUAUCCCAAUGUAUAUAUAAAAAUAAGUAUAUACAAUGAACAACCAAACCCAACAAAAAAAAACCCUGCCACUAAGCCUCCACCUUAACCCUGCUGAUCCUCACCUGCAGGUCUAACCCCUACACUAAGAAUUGGUGUACCGGGUUGUAAACAACAAACCUGGUAAGCUAAAAAGCUCGUAUGAGUAAACUAAAAAAUAACACAACAUUUAUCACAUCCAAUAUUCCACAAGAGAGAUUGGAUCCAUAAUUAAAGAAAAACACACAUCCAACACAUUACCUAAGAAAAGUACUCAUGAGUCCCAGAUAUUUAAUAAAAUACCCCUCAUGACCUACAACAACACUAUGUGUACCCAUGGGUCCCAGAUACCAUACAGUAUCUCCCAUGACCUACACUGACAGACGGACUAGAGCUUUAUUCCUAACCGUAACCAAUCACCCGGCCAAAGGCUUGGAACCCGGUUUGACUGUCUAAUAUCAAACACAAAAAUAAUAAAUAGCAUCUUAACUACAACCAAUCACCUAAUUAAAGGCUUGGAACCCGGUUUGACUAUUUAUCCAAAAAUCAGAAUAUCACAACAUUAACCUCAACAACACAAUAUCACAUCAUUAUUCUCAACAACACAAUAUCACAUUAUUAUUCUCAACAACACAAUAUCACAUUAUUAUUCUCAACAACAUAAUAUCACAUAAUUAAUUCUAUCCUCUCACAUGGAAAUAUUUACAUGACCAAAAUAUAGAUAUUCCACAAGAAUAAUCUAUAAAUAAUCAAUAAAAUCAUGAUUACAUGAAUCUCAAAAUAGCACAUAAAGAAAACUUGUUUUACCUUAUCUUUGAGCCGUUGGCGAUCAAGCUCAUAUAUUUUUAAAAGCAAUUAAAGACAUAAUAUUAAAACCAACAUCAUCAUCAUUAUCAUCAUCACAUGACCAUAAUUAAAUUUGGUUCAAAAGUGAACCUUGGUGAGAUUUACUCACCUAGAAAUCCUGUUGCAAAACCCCCAACACAACUAAGGCAAGCCAAUCACAAAAUCACCUAAAAUCACACAAUUAAAAACCUUAGAAACCAAGGUAUUAAAGGAUAACACAAUACCCUUAAACUAACCCUUAGCUCAAGGGAGGACAACUUCCCAAAGUCGUUGAACUCAAAGACACAAUAGAGCUGCCUCAACUCUUCAAAAUCUAAACUCUAACCCAACCAAACCAACACCAAUAAACUUAAGUCUUAGCAUGCCAACAUUUCUUAAAGACUAGCCACACUACCACUCAACAAGCUCACAACAGUAAGGACUAGCUAACCAUAGGAAACUAGGGCUGCACCUCAGCCGGACGCGCUGCCACGCGCAGCCACAAGCGACGGCGAGUGGGCCCCACGCGCCACCCCAAACUUCUGAAUUUGAGAAAACUCCCAACAGCAAAGUUGAAGCUUGAAGCAAGGGGAACAACUUUCAUACCUGAGACUUCGACUAAUUUUGGCCGAAACCAGCCGGAAACCGCCACGAACCGUGACUAGAAAAUCAACUACAAAACCUGCAAAAUCGGCCUCAAAACCUCAAAAACUUGCUUCAAUCUAUGCCUAGACACUACUAGGAGGAGGAGGAGAUCAAGACUCACCUAAGGACGCCCUUCGUCGCCGCCGUAUACGGCGGUUCCGACCGGUGGCACAUCAGCCUUCUUUCCAGCAACACAGCUCCGGUUCUGGCGUGCCACACCGAGCAGCAGCUGCCCAGCCUUGAAGAGAGCACUUGUGGGAGUCGAACGGGACCGGUGGCGUCCGGUUUGGUGGCCGGAUGAGGGAGAACUCGGCCGGAGAAAGUAAGAGUUCGGGGGGAGCUCGGGAGAGGAAGAGAGAGAAGAGAGAAAAGAGAGGGAAGAGAGAAAAUAGAGGCUGACUUUGUUUUUAGGGUUCCCAAAUACAUCCCACACACAUUUUUCUACUUAUACUCUUUUCAAACCCGGAAACAAACUUCCUCUGAACAUAACUUCUUCAUACGACAUCCGUUUCAGGCGUGCCACAUGUCUAUGAACUUGUAUUGACAAACUCUACAACUUUCAUGAAGGAAGUUUUCGAAGAUAACUUACGAAAAAUAAAGUCAACUUUUGGCCUCUUAAAAGUCAAAGCACUUUAAAAUAACCUCCUGAAACUUCAACUUCGCAUAAAUCACAGAAUUUCCAUAAAUGAUCCUUCAUUAAAUAAAAGAAUAAUACAAGGAAAAUUGAUAUGAAAAUCUAGGAUAUUACACCACCGCCACCACCACCACCGUAUCAAAUAACCGCCAUGCCACCAUCGUCAUACCAAUCACAUCCUAACCAAAAUUAAAAUCAAAAUCAAAUUAAACAAAAACACAUAAAUCUAUCACCAAAGCUAAUUAAACUAGAAAAAUUGAAGAACUUACCUUGAUUUCUUACCCUUUUGAAAUUUCGAGGGACGGUGGUGGGUUGGUGGAAAGGCUUGGUAGAGAGAGAAAGGUGGCGGUAGCAGCGUCUGUGGUGACCCAGAUCUGAGGCUUGGUGCAAGAGAAGGGGACGAGGAGCUUGCUGGCGACGGACGGGUGAGUCAGGUCGGGUCGAGAGGGAGAGGUUGUUGGCUCCGAGGAGGGUGCGAAGGUGGGCGGGUGAUGUUGAAGAGGGUCUUGACAGCAUUAAGAGUGGUGGCGUUUAUGGGGACAAAGUCGAUGAGCGCGUGGCNNNNN
rnacentral:lncRNA from 1 species